UAUCAACAUCCCCCACCACAGGGGUACACCUGUUACAACUGAUGAGCCUACACUCAGAGUCCAGAGUUUGCAUUAGGGUUCCCUCUUGGUGGUGUACAUCCACGGGUUCGGACCAACGUGUAAUCACGCGCAUCCACCACUACGGUAUCGUACAGAGUAGUUUCACCGCCCGAAGAAUCCUCUGUGCUCUGCCUAUUCAGCCCUCUAAAGCUUUUCCUAUAAUUAGGAUUAUCUUCUCAGAGUCGAAUCUCAAAAGUAGAAUCACUAUUUGAAGUGAUUCAAAUCACUAUUUGAAGAUUUUCAGCAUUUUUAUAUUGUAUUAGUGUCUUAAUAAGAAACAAAUUAUGCCCCAGAGUCUAUACAUGAUGGUUGGCUCUCUUAUUUUGGAGCAGUUUUCUCCCUCCUCCAGGGACAAGCAGAAGAAUUAGGAAGUUCAAAGAGAUCUUUUAUUAUAGACAAAUUUCUAUAAUUUCCAAGGGAAAGGAUUUCCAAGGAAAAAACCUGAGAAUCACCAUUUUAGACGACAGAUCACAGGGCUGGAAAAGCCCUGAGAUGUUUGGUCAACUUCUCCAAGUAGGAGUGGCAUCACUCGACCUCUUCUUCCUCGAGAAUUCACAACCUCCCAAAUUAAUGCAUCAAACCCAACCAUUUUCGCUCCUCUUCCCAACGUUCUGUGAUUCUGUUCAGAAUUUAGCUGCUGAAGCUGAGCGAUGGGACAUGGAGGUCACUGUACUACUCCAUCUGUGUAACCAAAUGAUUAUGUUUGAAAUGUUCCAUAAUAAAGCUUUCAAAAUCAGAUUAUCACAAUAACCAUAAUAAGGCAUCAAAAUGUGCCUGAGCAAUCUCAUAAAAUGAAUCUGCCACAUAAUAAGAUGUGACUCCUAAUAUUCUACUCUGUCCCAACCAUAAAAUAGGAAGUGACGUUUUAGAAUCCCUGAAAUAAAAUGCCAUUCGCACAGUCACACUUCAGUGAAGCCAGCCACAUUUUAAAGGAAUCAGAAAAUCUUUCCGUCACAAUUCAACUAGAAGGCCUGGCUAACUCGAAGGUCCCUCCAGCACUGAGAGAGAAUUCCAUUUUAUUAACAUCCAAAUUAUUAACACCUUCCCACAAUUAACACUCAUCUGUUUUUUUUUGAGGAAGAUUAGCCCUGAGCUAACUGCUGCCAAUCCUCCUCUUUUUGCUGAGGAAGACUGGCCCUGAACUAACAUCGUGCCCAUCUUCCUCUACUUUAUAUGUGGGAUGCCUACCACAGCAUGGUUUGCCAAGCAGUGCCAUGUCAGCAGCCGGGAACCGAACCAGCGAACCAGGCCGCCAAAGCAGAACGUGCGAACUUAACCGCUGCCCACCGGGCAGCCCAACAUUCAUCUUUUUUAAUACACAGGUUGGUCAGUUGGUUUUUAACUAAAAGCAUGCAAUUUCAAUAGUAAACUAAAAUCACUCAAACACCAUUCAGCAAAUCUCACAGACUAUAUGUUUUCAAUAUUCCAUAUCAGCAGGAUGGAGAGUUCAGGAGAAAGAAAAUCAAAACUUAAAUUCUCGAAAGUUUACUCACUGUUGAUGAUGACCACAUAGAGCAGACUACUAGAUUAUUCUCAAAAAAGCAAAAAACCUUUUCAUCUAUGAAUUUUCCCAGUUCUAGUGAAUUUAAAUAUUAAGUGAAAUGCUAAAAAUCUUUGUUUUAAAAUUCUAUAAAUCCCAGCGCUAUUCUAGUCUCUAUUACUCCAGGACCAUAUCCAAAACCAGUUAUCAGAACACCUCAGAAAUCACUGAAAAGUAGAAUCUCAGAUCUAAAUAUACGGUUUUGCUGGGUUUGGUUGUUUCUUUAGGGGAUUUGGUUGUUUCUUUAGGGGAUUUUGUUUUUAGAUUUAUACUUUUGUGGACAGAAAGAACACAUAUUUGGUGUAGACUGGCUUGAAGCAAAGGAUUUCUGGAAUUACCUGAACUAAAACAAUAUUAUAAUUCUGCCAAUAAAAAUAGAAAAGACUACAAGACAAUCUAAAGUUUGUCAUUGAAAUGUUUUUUUAACAUCUUUAUUAUCUUGGUUUGAGUUUUUAAAACGACUACAUUAUCUACAUUAAUCAUCUAGACCCCUGAUGUCCAAACCAGGCUGGAGUGACGAAGUGUUGACUAAUCGUUGGGUGGCUAGGUCCACAAGAAAUUGGUGAAGAGAGAUAUCUGAUCUUGAAUUCUUUAGAUUCUGACCCCAUCCUGCAAGGUUCGGCGUGAGGAAGAGGGGUGUGCCGGGGCUGGGGACGUCCUGCAUCUAGUCUGGGCGCUGGUCACGUGGGUGGACACAACUGUCAGAACUCAUCCAAAUGAACCACUCUUCACAUCUGUACAUUUCAUUGGACGUCAAUCUCCAUAAAAAUUGGGACAUGCAGAAAAUGGGCAAAAAUGGGAAAUUUAAAACAGAACGUUGGAAAGGGGGAGUUCUUGCUCCGGAAAUGCUCCCUACAUGUUGCUCGUGCAACAUUCCAGGGAAGAACGGGCCACGGGGAUGCUCGGAGGUUCUGCCACCCUGUACUCUGGACAGAACAAAUGACGAUAAUCAUAGCCAUCAAACCGUCACGUGAGAGGAGCCCUCCCACACCUGGCGGAAAGGAGCGUCCUUGUCUCCGAGGACAGAGGGACCCGAGAAGAAUCCGGACAAACAGGCCUUGCUGUCUGCCCGCUUUACUACCCUUCCCUCCCGCUCCUUGACCUGCCACCUUCCUCCACGACUGUCCUCACUUCACCAAACCCAGCAGGAAAGUACACGGCUCUGUUUCUUCGGGUCGUCAUUUCCUUAGGAAGGCUUCUGUGUCAUGUAAAACUUAAAUAAAUGUGUACGGCUUUUCUCCCGUUAA